GAUGAACGCUGGCGGCGUGCUUAACACAUGCAAGUCGAACGGAAAGGCCCAAGCUUGCUUGGGUACUCGAGUGGCGAACGGGUGAGUAACACGUGGGUGAUCUGCCCUGCACUUCGGGAUAAGCCUGGGAAACUGGGUCUAAUACCGGAUAGGACCACUUCUUGGAUGUUGUGGUGGAAAGUUUUUUCGGUGUGGGAUGAGCUCGCGGCCUAUCAGCUUGUUGGUGGGGUAAUGGCCUACCAAGGCGUCGACGGGUAGCCGGCCUGAGAGGGUGUACGGCCACAGUGGGACUGAGAUACGGCCCAGACUCCUACGGGAGGCAGCAGUGGGGAAUAUUGCACAAGGGGCGCAAGCCUGACGCAGCGACGCCGCGUGGGGGAUGACGGCCUUCGGGUUGUAAACUCCUUUCGCUAGGGACGAAGCGUUUUGUGACGGUACCUGGAGAAGAAGCACCGGCUAACUACGUG
rnacentral:rRNA from 1 species